rnacentral:lncRNA from 1 species
ACAACAGAACGUGCUUUUAGAAGGGGUCUUUUGUAUUACUAGAUUCUAAAAUAUUGACAGAACAAUUUCCAACCUGUUAGCCUGCUUUCUUAAAAAAGUUAAUUCAACACCAAGCACCAAGCUAGUUAUUGUUCAUGUGUUGUGCUUCCAGCUUCAGGCACAGAUUUGCAAGAAGAUUGGGAGAAAUGAGAGUUGUGAGGAGGGUACAAGUUGUAUCACUCCCUCAAGGGCCUGUAAGAAUGGACACCAAGAUACUGAAUGCCUUUAGGGGAGGUUGUUUACUAUUCCUAGAGGUAAAAUGGCCCAGUGCCAUGAUUGGGGAAGGGACUUGAAUCUUCAACCCUUUAAGUGAAAUAGUUCUGGGCUAGAUAAUGUGGUAGGUGCUGAAGAGCUGAACUUGGGCUGGUGUGUGUUUCUCUUAAUUGAAUGAUCUCUGGCCCAGGGGAGGGCAUGGCCAUUCAGCGGCUGGCCUCUUCUAAGCUGAGCUAUGUGUGUUCUCUUACGUAGGCCACUCCAUUGCUCUGGGCCUGCAGAAAGCCCUCUACAGUGCUGUAUAAAGGAUAUAGUCAAAAGCAGAUCAGUAAGGCAGAGAUUCUACUUCAGACUGCUGCAGACAAGAGCAUAGGGCUCCCUCUCCCCUCUGGCUCCCAGCCAGAGGACUUUCUUCCCAAGAGGAGCAGCACUUCAGCAUCAUUCAUACUGACACCAGCUACUUGUUUCUGAGGCUAAGUAUCAGAUGCAACACACUGAGGAAACCGCGGCUCAAGUUUUCCUUGCCUCGCUCAUGAGGUGGUGGUUACAUGCUGAAGAGGCAAGCCGAGAGCACCUUAGGCUGCUGCACCCCACUCUGCCAAGGCCUCAGCCCAUAGAAAGGGGUUGCCAUUCAGGCAGAAGCUUGCCACCGUCCCCACCUUGUCUCUAGAGCUCUUGCUCAAAGAUUUUGCCUUGGAGGAGGAACAGGCUACAAAACAGGUAGCUCCUAAUCUCUUCCCAAAGGGAUUGACUUCAUUUGCAACAGAGUGUAAAGUUCAAAGCUAAGAGUGCUCUCAAGAACAGUGGACGUUGUCAUACAAGGCAGUUGAGAUUUGUGGAUCUAAUGAAGAUAAAGCAUGGCCUGUAAGCUGGAUAGUUUUCAGGAGAAAACCAGGAAAUAAGAUGGCUGGUAAGAGCACUCCUGGUAUCAGAACAAAUAUCAGACGUGGACCUCAAAAACUAUUCCUUCAAAUAAACCACAAUUUAAUUGAAUUAGUUUGUAGAACAAUUUAUGUCCUAGAGCAUUGCUGAAAACAAUAGAAUGAUCAGCAGGCAAUUAGUGGAGUUUAAUAGUUGGGCAUGGUAAGGGAAAGACAGAGAGCCCUACUAACACCACUGCCAUCCUAGAGUGACGGUGUACACACCCAAAGUCAUGUCUUCCUGAAGAGCAACAUCAGAGGCUUAAGACUAUGAGGAGAAGGAAUAAGCUUCAUUAAAAUAAUCCAGCCAAUCACUAAAAAAAAUAUACCAGCAAAUAACAAGUCCCAGAGGCCAGGGUUGGGGGCAGUUGCUACAACAUAUUAUCAAAAAUUUUGUGGCCAAGCAUAAUGCUUCACACCUGUAAUCCCAGCACUUUGAGAGGCCAAGGUGG